UCAGCUCGUUGUGGGCAGGAAAUGUGUCCGUGUACUGUUCUAUCGUCCUCUCCCGGGCGCUGAGUACAGCGCCCUGCCCACCCAGUGAGCGCUCAGUAAAUACCCCUUUCUCUUUCUCUCUUCCGCCGGCCCGCCCGUCUGGCCUUCCUGCUCCUCCUCCUCCUCGUCCCGCCUUCCCCUUCCUCGCCCUGCCUCCUCCCCCGGCCGGGCCGCAGGAUUGAGGAAGCGCCGUCCGGUCCGGUCCCGGCCCGGCCCGUCCCGCCCGGUCCGGUCCUGCCCUGCCCUGCCCGGUCCGAUCCUGCCCUGCCCUGCCCGGUCCGAUCCUCCCCUCCCCUGCCCGGUCCGGUCCUCCCCUCCCCUGCCCGAUCCGAUCCGGCCCUGCCCUCCCCGGUCCGGCCCUGCCCGGUCCGGUCCUGCCCUCCUCGGUCCGGUCCUGCCCUCCUUGGUCCGGUCCUGCCCUGCCCGGUCCUGCCCUGUCCGAUCCUGCCCUGCCCUGUCCGGUCCUGCCCGGUCCGGUCCUGCCCUGCCCUGCCCUGUCCGGACGGGUCCUGCCCGGUCCAGCCCUGCCCUGUCUGGUCCUGCCCGGUCCCAUCCUGCCGGUCCGGUCCUGCCCUGUUCUGCCCUGUCCUGCCCUGCCCGGUCCGGACCUGUCCGGUCCAAUCCUGCCCUGCCCGACCCGGUCCGGUCCGGUCCGGUCCUGGGCGGGGUGUCGGGCUUUAGGGGCGCCCCGGUCCCGUCCCGUCCAGCCGGCCCGGGACCCCACCUGCUCACCGCCCGCGCUCCUCGCCCCGCCCACGACAGCAGGUAGGGCCUGCUUAACCACCCCCCCACCGCUCCUCCUCCUUCUCUUCCUCCUCCUCUUGCCCCGCACCCGAGCGGUGUGCCCCCCGCUCCUGCCCCAGCCUCCCUCCUGCGGGCAGGGCGGGACAGGGAAGGAGGCAGCAACGGGCCCUGCCAGCCACCUUGGCCCUUCCUCCUCUCCGAUCGCCCUGCGUCCUUCUUGCCCAUCCCCUAAGAACCAGGGAAAUUUCUUCAGAACUAGGACUUCUUGCCGAAACGUUCUUUCUGGGAAAACCCUACCUCCUGAACAACAAAUUACAUCAGCUAUGUGACUUAACUUGGGAUGGUUUCUGAAACUGGAGUGUUAAUGCUUCACAAGUGCAACCCAGGAUGUACUGGUGUGUGGGCCCUGAGGAAUCUGCUGUUUGCCCAGAGCCCAACAUGGACCUUCAGAAUGGUAAGCUCAUUAUGUGUGUGGGUGAGAGGAAGAGUUCUGUGCAGCUGUGUCCUGGUUUUUUCAAACUGAUUUUGAUACUCUAAGUGAGAGUAACAAUGGUUCUCAAAUUCUCAAAGUAGACAGGCAUGCUACUGAUGCCUGUCUACUUGUUUUGUUUUGUUUUUAGCCUCCCCGCUUCUAGACGGUGAGCUGUUGUUGGAUAGGGAUUGUCUGUAUUUGUUGUCG
rnacentral:lncRNA from 1 species